GUCCCGGUAGCUCAGUCGGUAGAGCGCAUGGCUGUUAACCAUGAUGUCGUAGGUUCAAGUCCUGCCCGGGACGC
rnacentral:tRNA from 1 species